CACUACUGCCUGCUUGUUACUGUCCAGUUUGUGCCAGUCCUCACCAGUCACUGAGGCUGCCAUCAGUUGCAGCUGUGUGAGACAGUUUAAAUUACCAUCUGGUUUCUACAGGUCUAGACGGAAUCAUCCAUGAAGUUGCAGUUCUUCACAGUAAAUUUUUUCCUAUGUAUUUCAUUUAUAUUGAACUACUUGAAAUAUCUUCUCUUUUAACCUUAAGUAGUUUAAGAUUAGGUGAUGAUGGUGUCCUGUGAAAAGCCACUUGGGUCAGGUUGCUUUGUGUCAGUGCAAACAGACAGUUUUUGCACUUGUAUUUAGCAGUGUGGAAAAGAACAGCUGUGUAGCCAUGGGAUUUACCUACAUGCUGCUAAAAGACCAUCUAGAUGCUCUGACAUCAGAAUGUUUUUCUGAACAUCUGUCUGUCACAAAGGCAGAUAUUAAAAUAAGUGUAGAUAUUAUGUCCAAGUAGAGCUAUGUGAUUAUAUUAAUUCAAGGUUCUUUGGCUUUCAACAUCACAUUUCCCAUUAUAUAAAAAUUGAGCCCUGUGUCCAUACAUGCUUCUUACACUGUCUUCCUUGUGUUUCCUCAGAGAAUGAUUCUUCAUGCCUACAGAGCAUGCAUGCUGCUUUUAGAAAUACUGGUCAAACACAGCUAUAACUUUCCUCACUGCGUCAGAGUGUUUUCCCCAACCCAGUGCAGAUAAGAUGAACUUUACCAGUCUCCAUCACUGUUCUGUCGCAAGAAGUUUCCCAAUUACAUCCAGAAAUUCUCUAGCCUUCAGAUCCCUUCUCCAGAGCUCCCUUCCCUCAUCCCUUGUUUCAUCCACGCUGCCCUAAAUGUGACCACACCACCUAACUUGGAGUCUGAAAUGUAAGAAGUUGCAAAAACAGGCUCUUCCCAGCAGGUGCUGUGGCUGGGUUGUCUUUUCUUCUAGGAACGGGAUUGACCAGCUCCCUGCAGAAGUAGAGGUUCAGUCUUUGAUCGUAUGCUGCCCUUGACUACAGAAUUUAGAAGAACCAAAAACUGUAUGCUCCUAGAGAUGUCCUUCAGUCAUAAAAUGAAGGUCUGGACCAACUGCCUGUUCCGUGGCAUUCUUGGAAGACAAGGGAUGGAGGCCAUUCCAGACUGCAUCGGGGAAAAAUGGGUGUCUGGUCUGAAUUCUCAGCUUGGUUGUGUGGGCACCCUGGAGUAUAACUUCCCUCAUCCCCAGACCCACCUCCAGUGGCACAGCCCUUUGUGGGAGCCUGGUGGUGCCCUCUUAUCAACGGCAGAAUGA
rnacentral:lncRNA from 1 species